UGCGUAGGCGGACUAAUAAGUCAGUGGUGAAAUCUUGCAGCUUAACUGUAAAACUGCCAUUGAUACUGUUAGUCUUGAAUUUAGUUGAGGUAGGCGGAAUGUGUUGUGUAGCGGUGAAAUGCUUAGAUAUAACACAGAACACCAAUUGCGAAGGCAGCUUACUAAGCUAUAAUUGACGCUGAUGCACGAAAGCGUGGGGAGCGAACAGGAUUAGAUACCCUGGUAGUCC
rnacentral:rRNA from 1 species